GAUCCUGGCUUAGAUUGAACGCUGGCGGCGUGCUUAACACAUGCAAGUCGCGCGUGAAAGGACUUCGGUCCGAGUAGAGCGGCGCACGGGUGAGUAACGCGUGGAUGAUCUACCCAUGAGUUAGGAAUAACGGCUGGAAACGGUCGCUAAUACCAAAUACGCUCCGAUUUCAACUUCGGGGGAAAGGUGGCCUCUGCUUGCAAGCUACUGCUCAUGGAUGAGUCCGCGUCCCAUUAGCUAGUUGGUGGGUAACGGCCCACCAAGGCGACGAUGGGUAGCCGGUCUGAGAGGAUGACCGGCCACACUGGGACUGGAACACGGCCCAGACUCCUACGGGAGGCAGCAGUGGGGAAUAUUGCGCAAUGGGCGAAAGCCUGACGCAGCGACGCCGCGUGAGGGAUGAAGGUCCUCGGAUCGUAAACCUCUGUCAGGAGGGAAGAACCGCCACGGUGCUAAUCAGCCGUGGUCUGACGGUACCUCCAAAGGAAGCACCGGCUAACUCCGUGCCAGCCGCCGC
rnacentral:rRNA from 1 species